rnacentral:lncRNA from 1 species
GUUUUCCACUGUUAGAUUUAACUCUUUAUUUGUUUUUACCAGUUAGAUUAUACUAUUCAAUCAACCACCCACUCAACCCUAGGAGGCCCACAUCAUCCUAACCGCACAAUUUCAAUCCAAGGACUAAAAAACUAAUAGCGCUAUUAUAUAUAUAUAUAUAUAGAAUUAGGCUGGAAUACUAUUAAUAGUAAAACGUGCUUUUUGCUAUCAAAUUUUUAACCCUUGGAUGAAAAAUUAUAGGGUCAGGAUGAUAUUAGUUGGUUAGAGAUAUAUAUAUAUAUAUAUAUAUAUAUAUAUAUAUAUAUAGUUGGACUGGGCUAUUAUUAGUAGCAAAAUCUCAUUGUUGCUAUCAGUUUUUUAGCCUUUGGAUCAACUCUUUUUAUUAUUUCUAACCAUUGGAUUAAAUACUAUAACCCAGUGGGGACCACUCAACCCUAGGGGGACCACUCAACUCUAACCAACUAAUAUCAUCCUGACCCUACAAUUUUUCAUCCAAGGGUUAAAAACUUGAUAGCAAAAAAAGUGUUUUACUAUUAAUAAUAUUCCAGCCUAAUUAUAUAUAUAUAUAUGUUUAAUUAUAUUAUUGAGCUCCUAUGCUUCUAAAUCACCAA